GAUCUCAGCUCCAACACCAAGGCUUCUGUGUUCCCUAGAGAAGCCACUCUGGAUGGUCCGUCUAAAGUCUGCCUCCUUCCCCGGCCAGCCCUACAACUUAGAACGCCUGAAUAUACAAAUAUGAACAAGACCCACAAGGACUGCUCGUCACCCCAGUAUUCCAUUUACAACAUCAUGAACGAACUCCCAAUCAGGCCUAUAUCUCUGUCUUGCAGCCAAAUAUCCCGCUUACUCCUGGUAUCUACCUGGUCAGCAACCUCCUGAGUUAUCUCCCAGUGACAAACCAUCCCAAAGUUGCACCAGUCCAGCACAAAGUAUGACUGUCAAUCUCACAAAAGAUGUAGGGUUCUAGGAGGAUACUCAGAGUAUAAGAAUUACGCUAAGUGAAAUAAGCCAAGCCCAGAAAGACACAUACUUUAUUAUUUCAUGUAUCUGUGGAAUCUAAAAGAGUCAAAUUCAUGGCAGCAGGGAGAGGGCUGAGGAAGGGGGAGAUGUUGAUCAAAGUUUCUAUGUAUACAAAGGCCAAAGCAUCACAUUAUGCCUCAUAAAUAUAUACAAUUAUUAUUUGCCAAUUACAAGUAAAGCAAUAAAAGAAGAAAAAAAGGAAUCAUAAGUAAAUCCAUGACAAGUGAAAAUGCAAUGGAGAGAAGGGAAUCAAUGAUUGAAGAGAAAGGACAGUGGAUUUAUAACUGCUUCAAAAGAGUGAUUUGACUGGCAAAGGACUAAGGAGAGGUCCUU
rnacentral:antisense_RNA from 1 species